UACGGAGGGUGCGAGCGUUGUUCGGAAUCACUGGGCGUAAAGCGCGUGUAGGCGGCCUGCUAAGUCUGAUGUGAAAGCCCGAGGCUCACCCUCGGAAGUGCAUUGGAAACUGGCAGACUGGAGUCCCAGAGAGGAGGGUGGAAUUCCUGGUGUAGCGGUGAAAUGCGUAGAUAUCAGGAGGAACACCGGUGGCGAAGGCGGCCCUCUGGACGGUGACUGACGCUGAGACGCGAAAGCGUGGGGAGCAAACAGG
rnacentral:rRNA from 1 species